CACGCCGGAUUUGUAGGUUUACUUGUGGCCGAGAUCCAUCGGAUUUGGCGGAGGUGUAUUAAUUACAAUAAAACAGGAAAUAUAACUUUUUACAUUAUUAAUUUAUGAAUUCGACCAGCAAUGAAAAUUGGUUACAAAAGACAAAGAAGA